rnacentral:tRNA from 1 species
GGCGCUAUGGUGUAGUGGUAGCACAUGGGAUUCUGAUAAAACUAUCACCGUGCCAUUCCCAUAACCCAGGUUCGAACCCUGGUAGUGCCU